rnacentral:rRNA from 1 species
UUGAUGGUAAAAUUGGAAUUUUGAGUAGUAAUAGAGUUCUCAAAACUAAAAGAGUUUGGCGGUAUUUAAGUCUAUCCAGAGGAACUUGUAAAUUAAUCGAUAGCCCUCGGGGAUCUUACUUAAGUUUAGAUAUGUAUAUCGUUGUCAUCAGAAUAAUUUUUUGAAUAUUUUCUAGCAUUUUAUUGAAGGAAUGACAAAUCAAGGUGCAGUAGAUACUAAAGUUUAUUAUGGGUUACAAUAUUGGGAAAUAAUAUGAAUAUUUUUUUGAAAAGGGGAGUUGAAGGAGGAUUUGGUUGUAAUUUUUUAUUAGAGUGAAGGGAUGAAUAAGUACUAAAAUAUGC